rnacentral:tRNA from 1 species
GCAUUAGUGGUUCGAUGGUAGAAUUCUUGCCUUCCAUGCGGGAGAUCCAGGUUUGAUUCCCGGCCAAUGCA